rnacentral:tRNA from 1 species
GAAGGUAUAGCUCAGUGGUAGAGCACCUGCUUAGCAUGCACAGCGUCCUGGAUUUAAUCGCCAGUACCUCCA